rnacentral:rRNA from 1 species
AUACGUAGGGGGCGAGCGUUGUCCGGAAUGAUUGGGCGUAAAGGGCGCGUAGGCGGCCCGGUAAGUCUGGAGUGAAAGUCCUGUUUUUAAGAUGGGAAUUGCUUUGGAUACUGUCGGGCUUGAGUGCAGGAGAGGUAAGUGGAAUUCCCAGUGUAGCGGUGAAAUGCGUAGAGAUUGGGAGGAACACCAGUGGCGAAGGCGACUUACUGGACUGUAACUGACGCUGAGGCGCGAAAGUGUGGGGAGCAAACAGGAUUAGAUACCCUGGUAGUCCACACUGUAAACGAUGAAUGCUAGGUGUAGGGGGUAUCGAUCCCUUCUGUGCCGCAGUCAACACAAUAAGCAUUCCGCCUGGGGAGUACGGCCGCAAGGUUGAAACUCAAAUGAAUUGACGGGG